AGAGUUUGAUCCUGGCUCAGGACGAACGCUUGCGGCGUGCCUAAGAAAUGCAAGUCGAACGGGGCAGCAAUGUCCAGUGGCGAACGGUCGCGUAACACGUAAGCAACCUGCCCUGAAGUGGGGGAUAACAGCCUGAAAAGGCUGCUAAUACCGCAUGUGGACAUGAAGCGGCAUCGCUUUAUGUCUGAAGAUUUAUCGCUUCAGGAUGGGCUUGCGGCCUAUCAGGUAGUUGGUGGGGUAAUGGCCUACCAAGCCGACGACGGGUAGCUGGUCUGAGAGGACGAUCAGCCGGAUUGGGACUGAGAUACGGCCCAGACUCCUACGGGGGGCAGCAAUUAGGAAUCUUGCACAAUGGACGAAAGUCUGAUGCAGCGACGCCGCGUGAAGGAUGACGGAUUUCGGUCUGUAAACUUCUUUUGGCAGGGAAGAAAUUUGACGGUACCUGUCGAAUAAGCCCCGGCUAACUACGUGCCAGCAGCCGCGGUAAUUC
rnacentral:rRNA from 1 species